UACGGAGGAUGCGAGCGUUAUCCGGAUUUAUUGGGUUUAAAGGGUGCGCAGGCGGCACGGCAAGCCGGCGGUCAAAUCGCGGGGCUCAACCCCGCCCAGCCGUCGGAACUGCCGGGCUAGAGUGGGCGAGAAGUGCGCGGAAUGCGUGGUGUAGCGGUGAAAUGCAUAGAUAUCACGCAGAACCCCGAUUGCGAAGGCAGCAUGCCGGCUUCCGACUGACGCUGAAGCACGAAAGCGUGGGGAUCGAACAGG
rnacentral:rRNA from 1 species